rnacentral:rRNA from 1 species
GAUGAACGCUAGCGGCAGGCUUAACACAUGCAAGUCGAGGGGUAGAGGUUGCUUGCAACCUUGAGACCGGCGCACGGGUGCGUAACGCGUAUGCAACCUACCUUUUACAGAGGGAUAGCCCAGAGAAAUCUGGAUUAAUACCUCAUAGUAUAUGUCUUUCGCAAGAUAGAUAUAUUAAAGUUCCAACGGUAAAAGAUGGGCAUGCGUCCUAUUAGCUAGAUGGUAAGGUAACGGAUUACCAUGGGAACGAUAGGUAGGGGUCCUGAGAGGGAGGUCCCCCACCCGGGUACUGAGACAGGGACAAGACUCCUACGGGAGGCAGCAGUGAGGAAUAUUGGACAAUGGGCGCAAGCCUGAUCCAGCCAUGCCGCGUGCAGGAAGAAGCAUCUAUGGUGUGUAAACUGCUUUUGUACGGGAAGAAACACUCCUUCGUGAAGGAGCUUGACGGUACCGUAAGAAUAAGGAUCGGCUAACUCCGUGCCAGCCGCCGCGGUAACAC